UACGAAGGGGGGCUAGCGUUGUUCGGAAUUACUGGGCGUAAAGCGCACGUAGGCGGAUCGAUCAGUCAGGGGUGAAAUCCCAGAGCUCAACUCUGGAACUGCCUUUGAUACUGUCGAUCUAGAGUAUGGAAGAGGUGAGUGGAAUUCCGAGUGUAGAGGUGAAAUUCGUAGAUAUUCGGAGGAACACCAGUGGCGAAGGCGGCUCACUGGUCCAUUACUGACGCUGAGGUGCGAAAGCGUGGGGAGCAAACAGG
rnacentral:rRNA from 1 species